GACAGAGGGUGCAAACGUUGUUCGGAAUUACUGGGCGUAAAGCGCAUGUAGGCGGCCAAGCAGGUCGGAUGUGAAAUCCCUCGGCUCAACCAAGGAAGUGCAUUCGAAACCGCAUGGCUGGAGUCCCGGAGAGGGUAGUGGAAUUCUCGGUGUAGAGGUGAAAUUCGUAGAUAUUCGCAAGAACACCAGUGGCGAAGGCGGCUCACUGGCCCGAUACUGACGCUGAGACGCGAAAGCGUGGGGAGCGAACAGG
rnacentral:rRNA from 1 species